CGCUCUGCCGCCGCGUGGGCUGCAGGACCGCCUGCCUCAUUAACUCACGCCCAGAUUUCAGAAAAAGCUUCAAAUUACACCACAUCAUGGCGGGAACCUGCGGACAGCCAAUGGACGAAUAUUAACCGAACGUUCUGCUGUGGAUCUUCCAGAAACGGCCAUGCCAUCCACAGAAAAGUAUUUAAAUAAUGAAUGGCUGUGGAGGAGAAAUGGAAAUCAUAACUUCUGAACCAAUUAUAUUGAAAAUGGGAAAAGAAAAAGGCUUGGGUAGUGUCAGACUCACAAGUGUCUCUGCAAUUAUGAUAAAGCUAGUGGUAAUUUUCAACAGUACAUAUCUCAGUUGUCGCCUGAAAACAACCUCAGUUAGUGGUGGUGAAAUUGGUGCUUUGAUUUUGAUGGACUGGCAAGUGUCCAAACUGAAGGCAGUCAUCAUUACCCUCAAUGCUUCUUUCAGAAACGGUCAUCCCAACAAUUAUGAAUAAACUCGUUUAGAAAUACUGAACUUCAUUACUUCAGGACAAAAUUGGACAGGAUGUGGAAUGGGAAGCAUAUAAAACCUCUUUGCCUAUUAUGAAAUUGGGGAUAAAAAUAAGCCUGCGUAGUGUCCGACUCAAGGGUGUCUUGGCUGUGAAGAUGAAACUAGUCCUCAUUUUCAACUCUCUCUCUCAGGAAGAAAAUUUUAAGGCAUAACCUUUCAGCCAAUUAUUUUCAAGAAAACAAACUUGCUUCAGUAGUAUCAGAUUCUCAAGUGUCUUGGCUGUAAAGAGAGAACUAGUCAUCAGUUUCAACAGUGUCUCAGGAAGAAAAUUUUAAGGCAUAACCUUUCAGCCAAUUACUUUCAAGAAAACAAACUUGCUUCAGUAGUAUCAGAUUCUCAAGUGUCUUGGCUGUAAAGAGAGAACUAGUCAUCAGUUUCAACAGUGUCUCAGGAAGAAAAUUUUAAGGCAUAACCUUUCAGCCAAUUACUUUCAAGAAAACAAACUUGCUUCAGUAGUAUCAGAUUCUCAAGUGUCUUGGCUGUAAAGAGAGAACUAGUCAUCAGUUUCAACAGUGUCUCAGGAAGAAAAUUUUAAGGCAUAACCUUUCAGCCAAUUACUGAAAGAAAACAAACUUGCUUCAGUAGCAUCAGAUUCUCAAGUGUCUUGGCUGUAAAGAGAGAACUAGUCAUCAGUUUCAACAGUGUCUCAGGAAGUGGUAUUGACGGCAUAAUCUGAGGUGUUGAAACCAGGCAAAUAUCUGAUUGGGUGUGUUGGAAUAAAGAUGAAGCUGCUCUAAUAUUUCCAAUGGUGCAUCCCUCAGUUAAGAGAAGCUGAUUCACUUUUUGAAGGCCUACCUAUGUGAUAUCACUUGUUAUUCACUCCCUGUUGGUGCUACAUCAUCAAAAUGGAAUUUGGCUAAGGUGUCGCCUAAUUAAAAACUGAAGUCUCGUGUCAGACAUUUUGUGUCACGUUCAUGCCAUCCCCUUCUGUUUUGUCACAUGUAAAAUACAAAUUUAGCACAGAACCAUUUUAUUUUGCCUCACCAAUCUGCCACACCUCAACAUCUUUGUGAUGUCUAGAUGGUGCCAAUGGAGGGGCUAGAAAAUUAGUUCUUAGGAAGCAGUAUUCCUUCAGUUGGUAUGACUGUGCCGUAACUAGGACUAACUAUUGAAAUAAUAUGAACCAUAGCAGUAGAUAGUACAGUAUGCAGGAAGGAAAUUUUAAGGCAUAACCUCUCGGUCAAUUAUAAUUAAAUCGAGAAAUAAACUUGCUUCAGUAGCGUCAGACUUGCAAGUGUCUUCACUGUAAAAAUAAAACUAUUCCUCGGUUUCAACAGCAUCUCUCGGGUGAGAUAGACAAGUAGACACCCAUUUUGUAGGCUCAGCUUUGUGAUGUCAAUUGUUACUAAUUACCUGUUGUUCCUACAUUAUCUGAAUGUAAUUUACAGAAGGGCCCAGAAAUUGAAACUGGUCAUAGAAUUUUUUUGUUACCUCUCUUCUGUUUUACCUUAAGUGAAAAGAUGAAAUUUGCAUUGAUCACUCUAAUUUAUUUUGCCUCACCAAUCCGCCACACCUCAACAUCUUGGUGAUGUCUAGAUGGUGCCAAUGAAGGUGCUAGAAAAUUAGUUCUUAGGAAGCUGUAUUUCAUGUUGGUUUAACUGUGCCGUAACUAGGACUAACAAACAGAAAUAUGGAGCAUAGUAAUUUUUGUAUAUGGUAAUCAGACAGUGGUUCAUAUAAAUUUAAUAUUGCUUUGUCACUGCAGAAGAUGUCUGUUGGAAUUUUAACCCCUUGGUAUGUUCAGAUGAAAUUGGUCAAAUGUAUGUUUGGGUCCUGGCAGACUGGUAAUUGUCUUUGAUGCUAGACAGGUGAGUCUAGUCUUUAUUGCCUUCAAUAUUUCUCUCGGGUAAGAUAGAGAGGUAGAUACAUUUUUUUAUCCACUCUUUGUAUCUAUCUGUACCUGCUGCCUAUUGAUGCAGCAUCAUAUAAAUGAAAUUUGGAAAGGUUGAUGUCAAAUUAAAUUGCUUUGUUUGAUACAUGUAAAUUAAAAUGUGUUUUAGUUUUUCCUAUCCAUUGUGCCACUUUAUUUAUUUAUUUUUACAAAUAGAAAUCACAGGAGGAAGCCAACAGGCAAGUGUUAUGAAACCUUUUCAUUUGCCAAAGAUUGAGGAUGUUUAGGAUUUUACUGGUGGAGGUUAUGUAGCAGGGAAAAAUACUUUUGAGGCAGGGAGUUUUAUAGUGGUAGUCUGAGUUUAAAUGGGUUUUGGUAGGUUGAGACUGCAAAGUGGAAUUUCACCAGAAAACUUCAGGUCCCUGUCAGAUGCCCUUGUAGGCUGAUAGAGGAUGCAGGGUGGUGGCACUAGUGACUGUAGCUCAUCAGUACUGACUGCAAGUACAGUUCUGUAUACAUAAAAUGAGGAAAGUGAUCAGAUUUAAAAUUUUCAAUCAAAAUGCAUGUUUGAAGUGUUUUGGUAAAGUUUUCAUUGCAAGGAAUAAAAUGCUUGCACUGAUACCGGCAUACGGUGAAACGUUCAUGAACUUAUGUCAUCCAUAGACAAAGUGCUUAACAUUAAGUUUGUCUGUCAUAACUUUACAGAAAAUCAAAAGUCAUUAGGUCUUGCUUUCUGAUGUAAAAUAGGAUUUCAAGGUCGGUGCUCUACUUGUACAAUUGUAUUGUGCUUUAAUUAAUUCCAUACUCAUAUGCAAUCCUUCAAAUGAUUUCAUCUUUAUGCAUUUAAGUACAUCAUCUUGCCUGUAAUGUCAGUGUAAAUUGCUUCCCAAAGCUUAAGCAACUUUAAGAGAUCAUACGUGUAUGAUCACGUAUUCUUACAAUUUUAGUGCAGAAUAUUACGUAAUAAACACCUUAACAAACCACAUCUAAUAAUGACCUUUAAGUUUGUCUUGUAAACAUCCUGCCAAAUAUAGUCACACCCUAACUGGCUCCUGAUCACAGAACUAUUGGCCAUUAUAAGGUGCUCUCAGGCCGAGACAGGAUACAAGACCGCUGAUGAUUGGAAUCUCGGCAGUGACAUACAAAGCUGACCACCAGUUGAUGCUUCCAUUUGUCAGUAUCAGUUAUGCUGCAAUAGAGAACAUAAGUGACCCCUUUGAAACUGUAGCUUUAAUCUUAUUUCUUUACAGCGACUUUAGUCACAUGCCUUUUGAUUAACUUCUCGUUUCAUGAUUAAUAAGACCUGUAUCCUGGAUUGCGGGUACAGGUAUUACAAAACCUGUUGAUCAUAAGGGAGGGAUUGAUCCUUAAAUUGCUUUUUAUACUGUACUGUAGUAGGAAGCUCAGAUUUUCACUUCCUCCCAGUGGAGUACAACAGGAAAGGCCAUUGUAUUUUGGUUGGCUAUUUUCUAUGAUCAAUUGGAAAUGGAAAUUGGUUAGCUAAAGUGACUACAGUAUUUAAAAGCUCCAAGUCUUUCUAACCUUGAAUGUUAAUAUCCUCAUGGCCAUUGCAACUAUAAGUGACCACUUUGGGGGAAAGAUGAUGGCCUGUGUGGGAUCCUCCAUCAUUCUUAAGUUUUGUCUUGGCUUAUUGUCUACAGCUUAUUUUCAUUUUGCAUUACAAUGUAGGGAACUGGAAACUAUGACCACUUGUGUUUGAAGCACUUGACAUUAGACAAAUUGAUUAGGAUAUGUGUUUUUCAUCGGUUUUAUAAUUCGCAAUGUCUGUAUGAGUCUCUCUCUCGGUCUGUCAAGAUGCCUAUGUCCUUCGAGUUAUCUACAGGGGCCAGGAUGUUAUAUGCCCUUUGGGAAUCAGUGGAUUGGAAUAUGGUUGGCAGGAUAGCAUCAUCAGUGUUUUUAUUAGGCUGAGACAAAGUGCUCUCAUGAUACUUCAACUAUAUAUUUUUUUUUCAUCAUAAAUUAAUAUAUGGUG